UCAGACAUAAAAGGUGGCUUCGGCUACCACUUACAGAUGGACCCGCGGCGCAUUAGCUAGUUGGUGAGGUAACGGCUCACCAAGGCGACGAUGCGUAGCCGACCUGAGAGGGUGAUCGGCCACACUGGGACUGAGACACGGCCCAGACUCCUACGGGAGGCAGCAGUAGGGAAUCUUCCGCAAUGGACGAAAGUCUGACGGAGCAACGCCGCGUGAGUGAUGAAGGUUUUCGGAUCGUAAAGCUCUGUUGUUAGGGAAGAACAAGUGCCGUUCAAAUAGGGCGGCACCUUGACGGUACCUAACCAGAAAGCCACGGCUAACUACGUGCCAGCAGCCGCGGUAAUACGUAGGUGGCAAGCGUUGUCCGGAAUUAUUGGGCSSGUAAAGGGCUCGCAGGCGGU
rnacentral:rRNA from 1 species